UACGUAGGGUGCGAGCGUUAAUCGGAAUUACUGGGCGUAAAGCGUGCGCAGGCGGUUGUGUAAGUCAGAUGUGAAAUCCCCCGGGCUCAACCUGGGAAUUGCAUUUGAGACUGCACGGCUAGAGUGUGUCAGAGGGGGGGUAGAAUUCCACGUGUAGCAGUGAAAUGCGUAGAGAUGUGGAGGAACACCGAUGGCGAAGGCAGCCCCCCUGGGUCAAGAUUGACGCUCAUGCACGAAAGCGUGGGGGAGCAAACAGG
rnacentral:rRNA from 1 species